rnacentral:lncRNA from 1 species
UUUGUGUUGCGAUAAGGGCCCAGAGAGGGAAGGGGUUUGCCUUUGAUUAAGCACAAGCACAGGUUUCUCCUCUUUAGCCCCUUCUAUUCUUCUCCCUUUGGCUUUCACUGGGUCCCUAUUCUCUGCAAAUCCAGCGAACCCCAACUAGGAUUAUUAUCAUUAAAGCUUAAGCUAGCAGCAAAAAAAAAAAAAAACCCAUCAAAAGCCUCCCCACCUUCGCUGAUAUUUUUUUCUCUCUCAAGGUGUUGGCUUUUCUGCUUAAAUAUGACUGAGAGCUUAGAUGACGGCGAGUUUUGG